UACGUAGGGUGCGAGCGUUAAUCGGAAUUACUGGGCGUAAAGCGUGCGCAGGCGGCUUCGCAAGUCAGACGUGAAAUCCCUGGGCUUAACCUGGGAAUGGCGUUUGAAACUACGGAGCUGGAGUGUGGCAGAGGGAGGUAGAAUUCCACGUGUAGCGGUGAAAUGCGUAGAUAUGUGGAGGAAUACCGAUGGCGAAGGCAGCCUCCUGGGCCAACACUGACGCUCAUGCACGAAAGCGUGGGGAGCAAACAGG
rnacentral:rRNA from 1 species